rnacentral:rRNA from 1 species
GGGUGAGUAACGCGUAGGUAACCUGCCUGGUAGCGGGGGAUAACUAUUGGAAACGAUAGCUAAUACCGCAUAAAAUGGAUUAUCGCAUGAUAAUCAAUUGAAAGGUGCAAAUGCAUCACUACCAGAUGGACCUGCGUUGUAUUAGCUAGUUGGUGGGGUAACGGCUCACCAAGGCGACGAUACAUAGCCGACCUGAGAGGGUGAUCGGCCACACUGGGACUGAGACACGGCCCAGACUCCUACGGGAGGCAGCAGUAGGGAAUCUUCGGCAAUGGACGGAAGUCUGACCGAGCAACGCCGCGUGAGUGAAGAAGGUUUUCGGAUCGUAAAGCUCUGUUGUAAGAGAAGAACGAGUGUGAGAGUGGAAAGUUCACACUGUGACGGUAUCUUACCAGAAAGGGACGGCUAACUAC